UAGCUUUGUCCUAGGUCUAAUUUUCUGAAGUUUGACCAAAUUUAUAGAAAAACCUACUAAUGUCCACAACAUCAAAUAUAUAUGGUAUGAAAAUAUAUUUUAUGAUGAAUGCUGAAUCUAAUGAAACUAAUUUGGUGUUGUAGAUGUUGGUAUAUUUUUUCUGUAUACCUGGCCAAACAUAAAGAAGUUUGACUUAGGACAAACCUAG
rnacentral:pre_miRNA from 1 species